AGACCCGAAACCCGGUGAUCUAGCCAUGGGCAGGUUGAAGGUUGGGUAACACUAACUGGAGGACCGAACCGACUAAUGUUGAAAAAUUAGCGGAUGACCUGUGGCUGGGGGUGAAAGGCCAAUCAAACCGGGAGAUAGCUGGUUCUCCCCGAAAGCUAUUUAGGUAGCGCCUCGUGAAUUCAUCUCCGGGGGUAGAGCACUGUUUCGGCUAGGGGGCCAUCCCGGCUUACCAACCCGAUGCAAACUGCGAAUACCGGAGAAUGUUAUCACGGGAGACACACGGCGGGUGCUAACGUCCGUCGUGAAGAGGGAAACAACCCAGACCGCCAGCUAAGGUCCCAAAGUCAUGGUUAAGUGGGAAACGAUGUGGGAAGGCCCAGACAGCCAGGAUGUUGGCUUAGAAGCAGCCAUCAUUUAAAGAAAGCGUAAUAGCUCACUGGUCGAGUCGGCCUGCGCGGAAGAUGUAACGGGGCUAAACCAUGCACCGAAGCUGCGGCAGCGACACUCAGGUGUUGUUGGGUAGGGGAGCGUUCUGUAAGCCUGUGAAGGUGGCCUGUGAGGGUUGCUGGAGGUAUCAGAAGUGCGAAUGCUGACAUAAGUAACGA
rnacentral:rRNA from 1 species